rnacentral:lncRNA from 1 species
CUGCCACCUCCUCCCAUGGGAGUGGGAAUCCCACUCCCCACUCCAAAAUUGGGUGGGACCCACGGAUUCCCACUCCCACUCCUCCAUUUUUUAAGGUAAGUAAACAUUGGAGUGAGAGGAAUCCACACUCCACACUCCCACUCCAGAAAGUAAACACUACCUUAAAAUUGAACUGAAUUAAAUUAAAUCAAAUCUAGUUAAUCACAAAACAAUUGGGAUGUCCACAAAUCGAUCCACGAUCGAUUCGUCAAUUAAUUUUAAGACAGUUAAAUCAUUUUGAUUUUAGUUUAGUUCCCUUAAAAAAUGAACCUAAUCAAAAGAAUAAAAAUAAAGCGAAAUGAAUCAAUUUGGUUCAAAUCAAAAUCGGUUUAAAAUUUUUUAUCCUAAGCCCUUUUGUGAGCUAUUUGAAAUAUCUGAAAAUAUGAUGUUAUGUAAUACUAUCGUAUCAUUUUAGGAUUGUGGAAAAACAUAUGGUUUCGCACUUCACUGAUAAAUUGGGCAUGUGUAUACCAAAACAAACAAGGGUCCUAAAAUGUUCACAAAAAGUAUAAACACAAAAAAAGCCAUUCUAUUAUUAAGCUUUAACUAGAGUUUGUCUCCCAUAAAGCGAGUUAGUCAAAUCAAAAUCUUCAGAAAUCCUCCAAUAUCUUGUGGCUCAAGUCCAUAUAAAUAGUCGCAAUCUAUUUUAUCACAUUAUCAUGUCUUCAUUUGGGUGGCUAUGGCAGGCUUUCGAGCAUGAAAGCUCAAGUGAAUAUGCAUUAUUCUUCGGCUAGCAUUAUUAUUUUGCCGGCAAAUGGGUCUGGGAUUGGCUUAAAUGUUCUAUGAAUUAUCAUUUUCAUCAAGAAUAAGAUCGCUGAAACACUUACGUUAUAGGUCUGCUUGAAGUACAAUCAGGAACAAACAUUGUGGCUUCACACGUGUAAUAUUUAACUGACAUUAGUUAUUUUUUAAAAUUAAAAAUACUAGAUAAUUGUCACUCAAUCUUUGACGUAUGCCGUUAAAUAAUUAAAUUGUAUUGACUUUAUAAGUUUUUAAAGGGAUGGUAUUUAGAAGCAUCGAAGUUAGACCUUAUAUGUUAAUUCUAUAUGAGAAAACAUUAAAUAAAAAAAAAUAAAAGCAGAAGAAAAUUGACAUUGAUGAAAUUGAGUAUAAGAAAUGUUUUGGCCUUUUCUUUUUAUUAUUUAUUUUGAAAGAUACUAAAAAAGUCAUAAUAAUAGACAUUAGACAUAUCCAUUGGAUUUGGAAGGAGACGUGAAAACAAAUCUUUGAUUGCAGGUCUUCACCGACCACCCCACGUGCCCAAUCUGACUAAUCAAUUAAUCACUUCAUUUCAUUGAUACAGAGUUUUAACAUGUCCAAAUUCGUGCAAUAAUCACCCGUUAAAUCUUAUCAUCACAAUUUAAGGAAAAAAAUCAAUUAUUUUUAGCUGGAUUAUUGAAUUCAACCGACUCAAUGUUCGGCUCCUAUAUAUUUGAAGUUUCAUUCUUUUUCGUACCUCUCGUGGGGGCACCUCAAACUUGUUGCUUACUGAAGAUGAUUAAUGGUUUGAUGCAGCACGAUGCUAUAAAAGGAGUACUGUGCAGUCAAACUGACCCACCAGAAAGAUAAAGUAAUGCAAUGGAGGGAUAAAAAAUGUGGGCCAUUGAUAGAUAGAGAUAUUGUCUAUACUUGAGAAUAUCACAAUUAAAAAAAAAAUUAAAUCCACGUUAAUUUUAAGAAUACUCGUGAGUUUAAGUGUUAAAAUUCGUUGAUUUUAUAGAAUAUUAAGACAUAACAAGAAUUGAAUUUAAACCAAGAGUUUAUUUUAAGAAAAAUCAAUAACAAAUAAUCAAAAUAUGCAUGUAAAAGUUACAAAAAUUAAUUAUUUAUACUAACUAAGACUGAUCUUAACUUGACUAGAAAACCUAUUUUAAUAAAACUUAUACUUAAAUUAAGAAUAUAACUCAAAUAAGUAAUGCCUAAAUAAUAAAUUCUAAAUAGGCAAUCAAAAUAAACUGGGAUACAAAUUAAAUAAAAUAUU